UACGAAGGGGGCUAGCGUUGCUCGGAAUCACUGGGCGUAAAGCGCACGUAGGCGGUUUGCUAAGUCAGGGGUGAAAUCCUGGAGCUCAACUCCAGAACUGCCUUUGAUACUGGCGGACUUGAGUCCGGGAGAGGUGAGUGGAACUGCGAGUGUAGAGGUGAAAUUCGUAGAUAUUCGCAAGAACACCAGUGGCGAAGGCGGCUCACUGGCCCGGUACUGACGCUGAGGUGCGAAAGCGUGGGGAGCAAACAGGAUUAGAAACCCC
rnacentral:rRNA from 1 species